rnacentral:rRNA from 1 species
GCUUACACAUGCAAGUUCGAGCGGAUGAAGGUAGCUUGCUACCGGAUUCAGCGGCGGACGGGUGAGUAAUGCUUAGGAAUCUGCCUAUUAGUGGGGGACAACGUUCCGAAAGGAGCGCUAAUACCGCAUACGUCCUACGGGAGAAAGCAGGGGACCUUUGGGCCUUGCGCUAAUAGAUGAGCCUAAGUCGGAUUAGCUAGUUGGUAGGGUAAAGGCCUACCAAGGCGACGAUCUGUAGCGGGUCUGAGAGGAUGAUCCGCCACACUGGGACUGAGACACGGCCCAGACUCCUACGGGAGGCAGCAGUGGGGAAUAUUGGACAAUGGGGGGAACCCUGAUCCAGCCAUGCCGCGUGUGUGAAGAAGGCCUUUUGGUUGUAAAGCACUUUAAGCGAGGAGGAGGCUACCUAGAUUAAUACUUUAGGAUAGUGGACGUUACUCGCAGAAUAAGCACCGGCUAACUCUGUGCCAGCAGCCGCGGUAAUACAGAGGGUGCGAGCGUUAAUCGGAUUUACUGGGCGUAAAGCGUGCGUAGGCGGCCAAUUAAGUCAAAUGUGAAAUCCCCGAGCUUAACUUGGGAAUUGCAUUCGAUACUGGUUGGCUAGAGUAUGGGAGAGGAUGGUAGAAUUCCAGGUGUAGCGGUGAAAUGCGUAGAGAUCUGGAGGAAUACCGAUGGCGAAGGCAGCCAUCUGGCCUAAUACUGAC